CCCGACCCCCUCCUCCUCCUCUCCUCCUCCUAUCGUCCUUCCUCACAACCCUAGCUGCCGCCCCCUCCUCCUCCCACCUCAGUCGCCUCCUAGGAGAGCUCGGCACGAUGGGGUGGCCGUGGAGCGCGCCUCGUCCGGAGACAAGGUGGAUCCCAUGCAGGGCAUCCGGCAGCGCUGGCUUCUCCUCUCCUACGCCACCGUUGCCCACCCCUCCUCAUCUCGUGCGGGCACGGAGGUGAGCUUCUCCAGCGGCGGCGGUGACCUGCAGUCAAAGGGCGACGGUGGCGGCGCUCGAUUUGAUCUAUAGGAGAGAGAGAAGAUGAGAGGGAGAGAGAGAAGGAAGGAGAGGAGGGAGAAAUAGAGAGGAAAGAGGAGAGGGAUGUGCGGCGGCGGCCGAGAGAGGGUCACCGGAAGGAACAGCUGAUCAUCGUUCAUACCGCGCUGGGCCAGAGAUGGCUCUGUACAGCCCACGCGUCCGUAGAGUACACAAGUGGUUGCCCAUGAAGUCUCCUCCUUGCCCGGCUUAUUCAUUAAGAUCAACAGGGGGAAGGUCCAGGGUGAGACCUUCAAGAUGGAUUUGAUGUUGCUAUUAUUUCAGUUUGCAGAUAGAGGAUGUUAUUCCAGCAAGACAGUGACGAUGGCGAUGACAAGUGAGAUUUAUGUUAAGGAGUAUUAGCAUAUGCUCACAGGAUCACUGGAAGCAUAUAAAGAUAUCCACAACGAUGGUUGCUUUCUUAUCGAUAAAGAAUUGAAUUAUAAUUAUAGACGGUGAAAAUUAGCAAGCAAGCUACAGUCGGUGCAUGGAUGACCAAGUUUACUUGUUACUUUAUGAAGAUGAUGAUUCCUAAAUAGAAUUACGAGCUAGGUCCUGCAUGUUGAUCGUGCUUCAAGGUACAGUUGUUCGUGCCUUAUAAAAUUGUAAUGCUUUUUAUUGGUUGUGCAUCCUAGGAACAAAAGCUUGAUUCAUAGAGAGCCGAAGAACUGGGGAAUUUUACUCUCUGUCAUUACAGGGUAGAAGAGAAUGGGGGAGGGGACGUGCGCUCCAUAUUUUGUUAUGCACACCUUCCUAAACUAUACUUUUCUUCUUAACAUAUGUUCAUUGUCUAGCAGAAGCUGUAGAUUUCAGCGUACAAUAAUUUCCAAAAUGGUAGAAGGUAAGAACCAUGUUACAUGAUCCUUUUGUGUUCUCUUGAUUUAAAGUAACACGUACCUGUUAAACUUGGUGAUGAUUUUCGAGGUGUAUUUAUAAGUUAUCUGCCAAGGUUAUUCCUUCAGGCAAUUUUUUUCUCUGAAGCCUAGGCAUAUUCAUUGUUUGGUUGGCUCUCUUUACUAGCAGGAAGAUAACUACUACGUGUUGCUUAGUUAUUAGCGGAUCGACUGUAUGAAUGAUCUUGUGUUCACCCAGAGUUAUAGGUUUCUAAAUACUAGGCUCUUGGGACUUAAUUACAAUGGUUAGUUUUGUUUGGAUUCAUCUACUCUGGUGCUACAGCCUAGGUAAAGCUCCUUCACAAUAGUAUUUAAAGCUUAUAUUGAUAACUCCAUCAGAGUUCAAGCAUUAGGCUCUCUGCUCUGUGUAUUGCCAGGUGUUCUAUAUAAUGCUUUGAUGUUCCUUUGUCACUGUUUGAUGUUCUGCCUUGGGUGGCCUUUGUCUUGGUUUACAACUCCAUAUGGCUACCUAUGUAUACGUAUGUAGGUUUUGUUUGAACUGUAGUCAAAUCGGGCAGAUGUUUCUAUAUUCUUGCCUUCCUCUUUAUAACUCAUGAGAUUGUUUGAUAGUUGAAUAUCAUUGGUCUCUAUCGGCAUUCUAUUUUCGUAGUUUGAAAUGAGUAUUGGUCCAUUGAUAUUAAACUUCACAAUAGGUAGUGGCAUCUUCAGGAAAAAGUAGUGGCAGAUAUGUUGGUGAUUUCUUUUCUGCUGCAGGAAUGACACUAUUCCCAAAUCCUCAACACAUAUUUUUUAGUAACUGAGAGGAUUAUUCACCUUUGCUGCUGUAGGCGUUCAAGACCUGGCAGGGCUGGGUCAACCGGCCCUUCGUGUUCAAGACCCGGCUCUGGUGAGCCUUGACAGCCGUGCUACCGGCUGGGCAUCUUCAUCCUGAGCCAUGUUCGGAACCAGACCAGUAGGGGCACCCUGAGCGAGCACUCGAGGCAUGCUGUCAAGUUGGACGAGUGCAACCAGGCCAGCUGCUGUGUGUGUCCACGGUUCAUACAGUCAAGGCGUUCGCUCAUCUUGGGCCAGAACGAGCACUACAAGGGGAACCGUUUUGUUACAUUGUUGUGUUGUUGGUGAAAGAUAAUGUUUUUCUUCUCGAAUUAUGAAACCUCAAACAACAGUAGGAUAUAACCGUUUUGUUCGUUUUGCAAUCAAAGCUCCUAUCGAAUAACAUUUUAGAAUUGUGCUCCGUCUUAUUCAUAAACUGUGGCUAUUUUGUAGAUUCAUACAAGAUACGGCUUUGUGUGCAUUGAAAUAGCAACAAGUUGGCCUCUUGGUCUUGUUUCUGUAUACAUUUGACUCAUACACGCAGCCAACAUGUCCAUGUGGUCUGGAUGAA